rnacentral:lncRNA from 1 species
CCCUGGGUCACAGAAGCAGAGUGUGCGAACUUAACCAUUCAGUCAUGGAGCCAGCCCCAACAUGUUCCUUAUUAUAUGUUAACUAAGCAUCCAUCCUCAGUUAAUAAGAUGACAGUUCACUCUGCAGGACCCACGUGCUGCCCUGAGCAUCCAUGCAUGUGUUCCUGGUCGCUCCUUUUCCAUGCCCUGUGACUCUUCUCUCAAGUCCCUCUACUACCCUGCCUUCCUCUCUUUGAGAAGUUGACUGGAGACAGAAAAUAGAGUCCUUCAUCUUAUUCAAAUAGAAGAAUGCAAGACACUUUCUGGAUGGACUGGAAUAUCUCGGAAAGAGGCACCAGUUAUCAGUUACUAAUUGCUUGGGUCCCAGGUUUGACUGGCCAUCAAACCAAGUGGAAAGAAGAAGAAAACAGGUCUUGUUUUGAUUUGGUUUAUUUGGGGUGCAGGAGACUAUGGGAGGGGACAUAAAGACAAUGUACGGAAAGCAGAUCAGGGAGAAGGGUAGCAAGGAGCAGGGUUUCCAGAGGGGCCUUCGGAAACCUAGAAGCUCAUCCCUGAGGUUGCCCACAAAGAGAGAGGGUCCAGGCUAGGAGAUUUCUGUGCCCAGGAGAGGCUUGGGAGCUGAGCCCUCAUACUCCAUUAGAUAGACCUGCAGUUGAAUAACAACAUGCCCAUCAUCAGCCUCCAGGGUCUACACCAGUUUCUUCUCACAGAGAUGCAGGGAGGGCCUUGCUCCUCCCUGAACUUGCAUUAAACUGGUCAUUGCCCCAUCACAGGACUUUGCUGGAUCCCUCAUUCAUUACCCCGUAUGAUCAUCAUCUUAACCAUACCACAGGACACCAGUACAACAAAAUGGGGGGUGGGGUGGGUAGAGUUCCUAGAUCUAGAAAGAAGAGGUUGAACUAGACAAGCUUGAGAUUAUUUUAAUAGCGUGCAUGUGUGUGCAUG